CGCACAUUGCGCUCCCUGGUAUUCCUAGGAGCAUGUCUGUCUGAGCGUCAGUACAAACCCUCCGUGAAACCCUUUCUUUUGAGGGGGGUUCAUCGGGUAUUGAACGCCGGCGGUGGGCUUCUCGCCUCUGCCCGUUCCAAAGUGGUAAAGUCAGCGGUCCACCGACACCUCCCAAGAAAGACGUAGUAAAUCUUACCCAUCGUCCUCGACUGGAAACGAAGGUGCGACCCGCCUCAAAAUCGCAAAACUUUCUAAGGUUUGACCUCAGAUCAGAUAAGGAUACCCGCUGAACUUAA
rnacentral:misc_RNA from 1 species